rnacentral:rRNA from 1 species
CGCAUACAACAAGUUCUUCCGGCUCCGGGGUAAGCUGGUAAUCAUUAAUAUGCGUCGUGAUGGGGAUUGAUCUUUGGNAUUAUUGAUCAUGAACGAGGAAUGCCUAGUAAGCGCAAGUCAUCAGCUUGCGUUGAUUAAGU